rnacentral:rRNA from 1 species
CCUACGGGAGGCAGCAGUAGGGAAUCUUCCGCAAUGGACGAAAGUCUGACGGAGCAACGCCGCGUGAGUGAUGAAGGUUUUCGGAUCGUAAAACUCUGUUGUUAGGGAGGAACAAGUACCGUUCGAAUAGGGCGGUACCUUGACGGUACCUAACCAGAAAGCCCCGGCUAACUACGUGCCAGCAGCCGCGGUAAU